CAUGACGUGUUAACGGCUUUACAAUAGGCACAUUAUCCAGUAGAGUUUAGUUGUUUCUUACUUUUACAACGGCUCCAAGCGAAGCUUAGAAACGAACCAAACGAUUCAUUCGCGAGGCAAGAUAGCACACAUCCUUCCACGCCGUAAGCAUUUCACUGGUACAGGACACGAGGAGAGAAAAGGUCAGUCUCUUGAGAAGUUCAGCCAACUUUCUGAGCGUAAAUAAGUUUGCAGUUGCUAACCUCGGGGUAGCAGUCCUGAUGUACUAUAGUUUGGUUGUGUGGAUUAACAUGAACCACGCAAGAUAUUCUCCCCUGCAAGAAGCCAAGAACAAUCAUUAAAUCCUUGUUCGAUUAUUCCUAUCCCAUGUGGAUUGGAUGAGAUUAGAAAAAAUAUAAAAGAUUUUGAUUUGUUUGGGAUUUAAACCCACCGUUAAGCCAUGUGGAUUGGAUGAUAUUGAGUCGGUUUAAAUCUAUAGUAAGUUAAAAUACAUCUCAAUCCAUUUCAAUAUACUAUACUCCAAUCCACGUGAAAUUAUAAUAACCGAACAAGGCCUCAAUCUUAUCCAAUCCACCUAGAUUGAGAGCAAAACGAACAUAGCCUGAAUCUUGAUUCAGAAGGACAACACGUGGAUCAUACGGAGUAUACAGUGCAAGAAAAAGAACCAAUAACGUUCACUUCUGGACAAUAUUUUAAGCCUAAUAUUCAUCCAAAUCUUUUUGUUUACUGCAACAAUAAAAACCUCUAGCUUGUGCGAGCUACAGGCACUGGUGGAUCUUUCACAAAAUUGUAAAUAAAAAAUUGUUUGCUUAUACGAAAUUUGAAUACAAUAUACAAGAAUAAAUAAAGUAACAAUAGCAACCCAACCCAGGAAUUUGACAGAUAGCCAUUAGAUCAAUGGAACCAUGAACAGUCUUGCAGUCAUACAACAACAUUACCAGUUUAUCACCAUAGAGCUAUGUUAAUAAACCACCUAUUUUACAGAAAUAUAGUAACACAAAUACACACAUAGAAGUACUUCUCUAGCAUGUGAAACCAAAAAAGGGUAGAAUUAAAAGUAGUUCCAGCAGAAAAUUUUCUAAUUUCUAGGAUAUUGCAAUUUUUUCAAUAAAAUGAAGAACCAGGCCUACUGCAAUGGAAAUUCCACAAUGAAAACUUUGCACUGGUCAUCAGUCUCCAUGUAAUCAGUGGAACAAAACUAACCAUGGCACAGGAUUACGCAUAGGCUUAUAAAUAUGACCUGCUCCUCUAAAGCCUAAUCCUCCAACAAUAUUCUGGAAGAGAGAAAAAAGAGGAAGAUUUGUUGUUUCAUGGCUAAAACAACUGUAUCUUGUUGCAGCUAUAUGCCAAAACAACUAUAUCCAAAUGCAAAAACCAAGUAGGGCAACUUGACAUGCCUUAUAUCUAUCAACAUUGCUUAAGGCUUUACUUGACAAAUUAAGAUGAACACUUCAUAUUUUAUUCUAGCAGAUAGCAGGAUUACGAAAAAACAACAUCCAUGCUACACUGUUUCAUUUGUUCAAUGAGACAAUAGUUUUCCUCAGUUCCUAAGUGGAAAGUGCAAGCGAUAAAUUUCAUUAACUAGCACUGUCUUUUCCUUUGAACGGAAAUCCUUCAUUUGGGCAUUAAAAACAAAAAAUACUUAAGCAAUAUAGCCUCCAUACCAGUAGUUCCAUAAAUCCGUAGAGAAGUGGUACCACGAAGUGAGAAAUGAUAACAGUUAAAGACACAAGGAACAUGUGAAAUGUUGACGAGUAUUCUUCUUCUCAUGUGUUAUUAGAUCUAUCACUACUCUCCCUCUUACUAGGUAUCCCUUAAUGAUUGCAAUUUAUUACUGUAAAUCAAACACUUCAUUCAAGGAUUAAUAAACAUGGAGAUAGAAAAUUUUCAAACAAAGGAUAUGUUUGAUUACCAUGCAUUCUUACAGAGGCAACAUACUAAAUUACUGUUACAUCUUGAAACAAAAUCUUAUAGAGAAAUGAUAUCUAGAUACAGGAGGUAACUUGUCACUGAUCAUGCUAAGUAUUUACGACAUGUCUCGUUAUGUUCUUUUACAGAUAUAACAAAUAAUAUAUCAUUUAGUGAAUCAAGAAUCAGAGACUUAGAGCAUGUAUCCUGCUAACAUUACGCCAUGAAUGUUCUGAAUAUGAUGGACAUACCAUGUCUGACAGAUGAAUGGUAUCUAGAUCAAUGCAAGAAGAUUGUGUAGAUCUUCUUUCCUCACAAUUUUUGUGCUGCACCGUCCUGUAUUGGUUUCUCUCUAUAAUGCAUUAGACAUCGUAUGGACCUUAAGAGUUAAGAAUCAUGUCAGAUAAACUGUGUGGGCAAUGCUAAACUCUUGUCCGCAGCGGAAAUUCUAACUUGCUUCACCUCAUCCUACCAAAUUUAUCGUCAUAGAGAUAUGGGGCUUUUGCAAUUCGCAUUACCAUAGGAGAAAAUCAACACUGACACAGGUUGUAAUCCAAUUCAUGAGAUCUGCAUAUAACAAUAUACUAACAAACAAGAAA
rnacentral:lncRNA from 1 species